rnacentral:lncRNA from 1 species
CGCCCCUCCCCAGUGUCGACGCCCUCCCUCGGGUUCCGCCCCUGAGCUCGUGCCCGCCCCCGGCUGGGCUCCAGGGCGCCCUCUUCCCGCCGGCUCCGCUGCGCCCCUCCUCCCGGCCCUCCUUCCUCUGCGCGUGCGCUCCCCCAGCCUCGCGCCUGCGUUCGCGGGAGCGCGCGCCUUGUGCUUCGCGCUCAGGAGCCCGCCUUCUCGCGGCCCCGCGGGCCUUCCGGCUUCAGGGACCCAGGCGGCCUGGCUUGAACACUUCCCCCUGCUGGCGGAAAAAGCCUUGGGACCCGACUCCCCAGAGUAGAUCACCAAAAUCUGAGCCCAUCCUCAACGAAAUUUUUAACCUGCCUGAGAAGAGGAGGAUGUGCCCCCUCAAUUGGAAAAGUUACAACUACCGCAACCAUCUGCCCUUGCUGAUUUCCUGCUUUUAAUCAAGUGGAUGCUACUAGAAAGAUUUAUACUGUAGGCUCCUCCAGUCAUUAUUUAUGGAGAGUUAUCUACUGUGUGCCAGGCACAGUAGAGAUACACAAGAAAAUCAGGUUCCAGACUUCAUGGUUGAAUGGAUUCCUCAGUCAUUUUGUGUCUUUUUUUAACUAAAGACAAUUUUCAAGAUACAGUAGCUAGGGUAUCUAAUGCUGUGAGGUCUUUUUAAAGUAUUGUGUAUCUAACCUCACUUGCUUUCCAAAAUGUCUUGUUUUGUAUGUUAAGUUCACAUUUCAUUUACAUUUGAAAACAUUGCCUCCCCAUGUUGCCAGAAUUUUUUUUUUUUUUUUUGGUACUGGGGAUUGAACUCGGGACUUUGCACUUGUGAGGCAGGCAGUGGAACCACUGAGCUAAAUCCCCAGCCCUGUUGCCAGAAUUUUAAAAUAUCAAGAUAAGUAGCUGAGCAGUCUUUCCAUUGCUGUAUUUUAGAUAUAUUCUGUUGAUGAAAUUUUCUUGUUUUUAGCUAUGCAAUUAGCAUAUAAAUGCCCAUAUUGGAAAAUGCAAACUAUAUUAAGUUUUAUACUCUGGGAGGCAGAGGCAGAAAGAUCUAAUUGCAUGUUUGAGCUUAGCCUGGGCAACUUAUCAAGACCCUAAAAAUAAAAAAGUGGUCCCCUCAAAAAGAAAUUUUUAUUUCUCUUCCCAAACCACCCCCUGCCACAAUAACCACUAUAACAAAUUUUUUUUUUUUUGUACCAGGGAUAGAACUCGGGACCUUGUGAUUGCAAGGCAGGUGGCAGAACCACUGAGCUAAAUCCCUGGCCCACCGCUAUAACAAUUUUGUGUACAUGCUUUUCAGACCUUUCCUCUUUAUUUUUUCAUUAUGGUUCUUUCAAUCAAUUCUUUUAAUACAGCAUAAUAUUUCAUAAUUUAAUAUGACACAAUUUAACCUUUUCCAAAAUUGUAGAAAUUUACAUUAUUCCUAUUCAGUGUAACUAACAGUGUUGCAGAAAGUAUCAUGUAUAUAUGAACACAGUCUGCAUACGUAUGAUUACAUUUCAGGAAUAGAUUACUAGAAAGUAUAACUGCAGAACAAAGGACAUAAUAAGCACCUCAAGGCCAAGCAUGGUGGCGCACGCCUGUAAUCCAGCACUAGGGAGGCAGAGACAUGAAGAUCACUGAGUUCGAAACCAGCCUGGGGUACAUAGUGAGUUCAAGGCCAGCCUAAACUACACAGCAAGACCCUGUCUCAAAAAAACCACCUCAAAUUUCAUAGUAUUGUGUUCGCAAAAUGAUUCAAAAAAAGCCAUACCAAAAAAAAAAAAAAGCCAUACCAAUUUACAGUCUAUUUAAAAAAAAAAAAGCACACCUGUAAUCCCAGUACUCUAUCCCAGCACUCUGGGAGACAGAAAGGAGGGUCACACGUUUAUGCUCAUCCUGAGCCCCUGUCUCAAAAUAAAGUUAAAAAAGAAAAGGCUGAGGAUAUACCUGAGUGCAGAGACCUUGGGUUAAUACACACUACCACAAGGCAAAAAAAAAAAAGAAAAGGUUAUGUCUCGACCCCAUACCUCAAGAUAACAAAUUUCAGGGCCGGCUCAGUGGUUUCACUACCUGCCUCCUUGCAAGCGCAAGGUCCCGAAUUCUAUCUGUACCAAAAAAAAAAAAAAAAAAAAAAACAGUAUACAAGGUGACAAAUUUCAUUAUUAAAAAAAAAAGUAAAGUAUGUUUGAAAUUCAUUUUCCAUACUGAUAAAUCAUUCUCAAAAGUCUGCAGUGUAAAGACAGUGCACCUGAAUAAAAUUAACAAAACCACAACAUUUACAAAACAUUCAAAGCCAGCUUUGAAUGGCCUAGAAGGUCUAGAUAAAAGUUCACAACAAAAAAAUAAAGUGAAACUUUUCCCUUGGUCCUAAAUUCAAAGAACUUCUGGAUUGACUGAGUUUGUGAAUCACCCUGAUUCAAAACAAUAGUUCUUCAAGGCUCAAGUUUAGAAUCUCCUAGCUAUUCCCAUAGCCUGCAUAAUAACAUUGCAGACGUUUGGCAUUCUGUAACCUCAGCAGAAGUUUCUGGAAUAGUAGUCAGGUAUUACCAUGUGAUCUUGACAUGUGAGCUUUAUGUUUGGUAUACUGGCUACUUGAUGUUAAAGAGGCUUACAUUUUCUCUAUUUGCUAAUUGCUCCAUACUUUGAGAAGAAGAUUCUAAGUAAUUGUUUAUAAACUUUUUAAUAUUUUAUCUUUCUUGUGUUUUUCUAAUUUGCCUAAGAAAUUUUCCUGAAUACCUUUAUCUGAUAAAAGAUAUAUCACGUUUACUGUUGUGUUUGAACAAAAUGUAACCUUUGCACAUGUGCCUUAAACUAUCCCAGUAUGUAGUGGUUAGUUAAUAUCUAAUUGACAUUACCCUAUUCAUGUUUACAGGUGCAACUUUUUUUUUUUCUGGUACCAGGGAUCGAACUCAGGACCUUUUGCUUGUGAGGCAGGUAGUGGCACCACUGAGCUAAAUCCCCGGCCCUCAACUUCUUAACAUAAAGCAAUAAAAAGAUGCUAAGAUAGGUCAGAAAUAAUUCCAGCCAUUAAGUGAAUCUGGGAAUGUCAACAUUUUAAUAUUUUAUCCUACAACAAAUAUAAAAUCAUUAUCAUUGACAUCGAUUCCCUGAAAUAGAAACCUCUGAAGUUAUACUGAGUGGGGGGAAAAAAGCCAAUCUCAAAAGGCUACAUACUGUAUGAUUCCAUAAUAUUCUCAAAUUGACAAAAUUAUAGAGAGGGGGAAUAGAUUAGUGGUUGCAAGAGAUUAGGAACAGGGUGGGAAGGAGGGUAGGGGAGUGGAAGGCUACGUUUAUAAAGGACUAGCAUAGCAAGGGAGAUAUUUGUGAUAAAACAGUUCUGAAAUCUUAAUUAUGGAGGUGGCUAUGCAAAUCUGCACAUAAUAAAAUUGCAAAGAACUUUAGACAGAAAUGCAUGUAAAAUGGCAAAAUAUGAAGAUUCAUGGGUUGCACUGAGGUAAGAUAGAAGAAAUAGGUGGAAAAGGAGACAAGGAAAAUCAUAAUUUUAAAAUUGUACUUCUAAGAAAACUGCAACUUCAGGACUCAAAGUUAUCCAAGGUUGUUACCCAAGGUUAUCUGUAUCUGUACUUCAUAUCUACUCUGCAGGCUUGUUUGUGCUCCCUAAGCUUGUUUUUUUUUUUUUCCAGGCCCAUCACACCCAAAUGCCCUAAAGAUACUAUAAACCCAUAAAUUAACCUUGUUGAUAAGGUAAACAGCAGCAACUGGACCUUAAAAUGAAGAAACUGAUUCAAAAUGCUCAAAGAAUGUUUUCAGGCAAAACACCUUAGGCUGUGUGUGAUGGUGCAUGCCUAUAAUCCCAGCACUCAGGAGGUUGAGUCAGGAGGAUUGCUGUAUGUUCAAGGCCAGCCUGGGCUAUAUAGUUCCUGUCUCAAAAUUAUAUAGGAACUAUAUAGUAAUUAUAUAGUUCCUUCCUAUAUGGACCCUGCCUCAAAAAAAAAAACAACAAAGACCCCUCCCCCCAAAAAACACAUCUUAAAGGAUACCUCCAAGAACGCAUGUAUAGCAUUAAUGUCAGAUCAUAGUGCAGCUCUCUCUUGAGGGUCCUCACUCUAUUGUCUCUGAAUUACUUCUUUAACUCUGCCUAGUAAAAUCUAUCUGUGGCUCUCACUGAUACAUCCUGAAAUUCUUUUUCUGUGACAAGAGUCAAGCACCUAUUCAAGCCAGGUGUGUUAGUGUACUUGUGUAAUCCCAGCGCUCCGAGAGGAUGAGUCAGGAGGACAGCAAAUCGGAGCCCAGUGGGACUACUUAACAACUUGGAGAGAACCUGUGUCAACAUUUUUAAAAAGUAAAAAGAACAUACUUGGCAGAUGAGUUGAGGUCCUUAUCUCCUCUUUGGAGGAACUCCUCAGACUGGUCUGGUGACAACCCCCUUGUCAACGUCCUAGUUUUGAUAGUGUGCUGCAGUUCAUAUAGGGGUACUGUUGGAGGAAAAUGACCGAAGGGUACACAGGACAUCUUUGUGCUGUUUUUAAACUCCAUGUGAAUCUAUAGCUAUUUCAAAAUAAAGCUGAUAAAAAAGAAAUCUUGUUUGAGCAUUUCCUCACUAUUUGUUAUCUGUUCAAUACUUGACCAAUAAGAAUCUUCAAAGGCUUAAGAAAAAUGUGUGGAAAUGUAAUUCAUAUUUUCCAGGCUACAUCACCAGGAUAGUCAGGCAGGGUUAUGAUAGCUGACACACACUGAGUCUGACAGGCUGCCCAUCCUGUUGAAUUAUGAGUCUUCAAAGUCCCAACUACUUGAGGUAGCAUAAAAUCUUUCCUCAUCCCAUGUCUGGCCCUCAUGUAAUCACCACGAAGCUGAAGCUCUUCACAUGGGCAAAGCGUGGUGCCCAAGACUCCUGUGUCCACACACAAAGUCCUGUCACUGACCUAUAGUUCAGGUUCCCUGCUCAUGCCAAAGUUGCAUUGGACUUUCUGGGGAACUUUUUCUGAAAUGAAUUUGUUUUCCUUCUCUUUUUGUCAUAAUAUAUCACCCAAGUCCCAUUGUCUCCCAGAGUUGUUUCUUGAGACAAGAUCUGUGUGUUAUCCACACUGGCCUCAAACUCAUGAUCUUACUUUCUCAGCCUCCCAGAUA